rnacentral:rRNA from 1 species
AUUGACCGCUGGCGGCAGGCUUAACACAUGCAAGUCGAGCGAGCGGCGGACGGGUGAGUAAUGGCUGGGAAACUGCCUGAUGGAGGGGGAUAACUACUGGAAACGGUAGCUAAUACCGCAUACCAUCAGAUGUGCCCAGAUGGGAUUAGCUAGUAUGUGGGGUAAUGGCUCACCUAGGCGACGAUCCCUAGCUGGUCUAAGAGGAUGACCCGCCACGCUGGUACUGAGACACGGUCCAUACUCCUACGUGAGACAGCAGUGGGGAAUAUAGCACAAUGAGCGCAAACCUGAUGCAGCCAUGCCGCGUGUGUGAUGAAGGCCUUCGGGUUGUAAAGCACUUUCAGCGAGGAGGCGUUACUCGCAGAAGAAGCACCGGCUAACUCCGUGCCAGCAGCCGCGGUAAUAC